GUAGCUAAAGACUACAUACAAGAAUAUAUUUGCAAGAAGAAAGGGAUAGAUACAGUUAUUAAAACUGGAAAUUCUGAGUCCUAGAAAUCUGUUUCGAAGCUUGCAUAGGAGAUUUUUCAUAGUAGCCUUGUUUGAUUUUCAUUUGUGGUGAAGUCGCUACUCCUCUGUUCGUUUUGGUCGCAGUCGCUGCCCGGAAGAAGGUAACGCUCUCUCCCUUUUAAUACUUUCCUCAUCUUUUCCGUUCCAGCAUAAUGUCUAUAGUUGUGCUUUUGUUUUGUUUGCUAUUGUUUGUUGUUGAGUUCUGGAUGGUUUGAUAUAGUGUGUAUUUCUUUAUGCUAUUUCAAUGUAGUUGGAUUCGUCUGUUCAAAUCUAUAUUUUUUCGUUUUCGAUGUCUUAAGAUGUCAAAAUGGGAACUCAUUUCGCUAACGUUGAUGGUAUGAGCUAUUUCUUCUUCAAAUGAAAGAUGAUUUCUCAAACUGUCUAAUAUGGAAAUUGGAUGUUAUAUUAUGUACUGUUUGAGAUUAAGUCGUGGCUGCUCUCCCCUUCUUGUUAUAUUUGUUUGGUUUUGGCAUCUCAAACCAACGUGUUGGUAUUCAUGGCUAUUUGUUUGUCCUGGAAGUCCAGUUUUCAGUUUAACGGUAUAUUUUGGCCCAAAUAUGAUUGUUUAGCUUUACUAUUUGCCAUGUUUUGGUGUUACUGUUUGAUAGUAUCAUCCUCUAAGGAUAUUACUUUCUUCUUUUUGCCUAUUUGUGUUUAUAUUUGCUCUAUAUUUUGCUAUUAUGUAUUCCCCUGAUAAGACUUGGCAACGUUUAGUUCUAACUAGUCCCCUUAGGAAAAUUUUGGAAGCAUAUGGUAUAUGUUGACCAAUUCUUAUUUUUUUAUUUGUUGUUUAUAACCUCUCUAGUUAUUACUUUUCUCUACUGUGCUAUUCCAUGCUGGGGAUAUUAUAAUUUAUGCUUUGUUAGUUCUUAUGUUUGGACAAAUAUGUAUAUUGUUCCUAUAUUUCUCUAAUCACUGAAGUGUACUGUAAUGAACAAGUUUUAUCUUUGUUUCUCCAUCUUUGUCAUCUUGUAUGUGUGUCAUUAGUCUACAUAAUUAUUUAAGUGCCUAUAGUGUUCUCUUUAUUUUUCUUUUAAAACUAUUGUUGUCCAUGUGCCACUGCACGAUUCUCUCAAAUGGGGAUUAUGUGUUAAUUUCCACUUUCUUGGGUCAAAAUGCAUAUUUUCCUGUAGGUUGGUUUACACUUCUUGCAUCUAUAUCAGUUGGAAUUAUAUAUUAACUCCUUAUACUCUUUUGCUUGCAUGUGAAAUCUGUCGGAGGUCACCACGAACUCGUUCCUUUCCCUUGCAUUUCCAAGAGAGCCAUAAAGGCUCAAUUUCCUGUGUUUAUCAAGUGGGCCAACUAAAAAUUGUCGAACAUGUCUCAGUUGGGAGAACACGCAGCAAUUUUGAGAAUUGAAAAUUGGGCCUUUAUUUCAGAAGACUGUAUUUCGUUAUUAUUGGGCCUAAGCCCAUUUAUUCAUUAUGUUUGUUAUUUUAUAGAGUUUAGGACAUGUGAAAAAUUGGGCCUAAGGCCUAAAGAAAAAUAUUUAUUUUUACGUUAGUUUAGGACAGGUGCAAGUGACUCUAAUGGCCCAAGACAAAAUGGACCCAAAUACUGUCCCAGACGGACAGGAAAAUCAGAUUUGGGCCCAAAUCUCUUUCCAUCUUCAAUUUGAUUAUGUUUGUGUUUGUUGUUAAUCUUAAGGUCGAAAAAAUUCAAAUCCCCGAAAGACACCCAUUUUGAUUUAACAAUUUAACUAAAUCGGUCUUUUAAUUGAACUUAAAGAAUAAUUUUGAGAAAUAUCUCACUUAGAUAUUAGUUCUACAUUCUCCUCCUUUUCCCUUUAAAAUGAUUCUAAUUAUAAAAAUUGUUCAAAUCAAAUUAAGUUAAAUUAUUUUAGCCAAAUAGUUAAUUGCCG
rnacentral:lncRNA from 1 species